AAUAAAAUGGCUGAAGUAAUUAAGCGAUAAAUUGUAAAUUUAUUUAUGAGAAAAAUCUCUUUUAUUA
rnacentral:tRNA from 1 species